GAAAUGCGAUAAGUGCUGUGAAUUGCAGAAUUCAGUGAAUCAUCGAAUCUUUGAACGCACCUUGCGCUCCUCGGUAUUCCGAGGAGCAUGCCUGUAUGAGUGUCUUGCAACCCUCAAACCCAAGUUUUGGAUUUCGAUCCAUGCUUGAGUUUGGAUUUCGAUGUUUGCCGGUGAUGAACCGACUCAUCUUAAAAGUAUUAGCUUGGAUCUGUCUAUAUGACUGGUUUGACUUGGCAUAAUAAGUAUUUUGCUGAGGACAUCUUCGGAUGGCCAGGACGUAGACUACUGUCUGCUAACUAAACCAUCACUUUAAGCGCAUCUUUGGAUGUUACUCAUUGUGUAACUUUGACAUCUGGCCUCAAAUCAAGUAGGACUACCCGCUUAACUUAA
rnacentral:misc_RNA from 1 species